rnacentral:rRNA from 1 species
GAUGAACGCUGGCGGCGUGCCUAAUACAUGCAAGUCGAGCGAACGGACGAGAAGCUUGCUUCUCUGACGUUAGCGGCGGACGGGUGAGUAACACGUGGAUAACCUACCUAUAAGACUGGGAUAACUUCGGGAAACCGGAGCUAAUACCGGAUAAUAUUUUGAACCGCAUGGUUCAAUAGUGAAAGACGGUCUUGCUGUCACUUAUAGAUGGAUCCGCGCUGCAUUAGCUAGUUGGUAAGGUAACGGCUUACCAAGGCAACGAUGCGUAGCCGACCUGAGGGGGUGAUCGGCCACACUGGAACUGAGACACGGUCCAGACUCCUACGGGAGGCAGCAGUAGGGAAUCUUCCGCAAUGGGCGAAAGCCUGACGGAGCAACGCCGCGUGAGUGAUGAAGGUCUUCGGAUCGUAAAACUCUGUUAUUAGGGAAGAACAUAUGUGUAAGUAACUGUGCACAUCUUGACGGUACCUAAUCAGAAAGCCACGGCUAACUACGUG